CUCGUAGGUUAAUGUUAAUAGGCUAGUAAGCUAAUAGUAAUAGGCUAGUAAGCUAAUGGUAAUAGGCUCGUAGGUUAAUGUUAAUAGGCUAGUAAGCUAAUAGUAAUAGGCUAGUAAGCUAAUGGUAAUAGGCUCGUAGGUUAAUGUUAAUAGGCUAGUAAGCUAAUAGUAAUAGGCUAGUAAGCUAAUGGUAACAGGCUCGUAGGUUAAUGUUAAUAGGCUAGUAAGCUAAUGGUAACAGGCUCGUAGGUUAAUGUUAAUAGGCUAGUAAGCUAGGGGUGUAGGUUGAAGUUGGUAGCACUCUAAUGGUUGGA
ensembl:lncRNA